rnacentral:rRNA from 1 species
CUACGGGAGGCUGCAGUGGGGAAUAUUGGACAAUGGGGGAAACCCUGAUCCAGCAAUGCCGCGUGUGUGAAGAAGGCCUGCGGGUUGUAAAGCACUUUCGGUUGGGAGGACUGCUUCUAGCACUAAUAUUGUUGGAAGUUGACGUUACCUUCAGAAGAAGCACCGGCUAACUCCGUGCCAGCAGCCGCGGUAAUACGGAGGGUACAAGCGUUAAUCGGAAUUACUGGGCGUAAAGCGCGCGUAGGCGGCUAGAUCAGUCGGGUGUGAAAGCCCCGGGCUUAACCUGGGAACUGCAUCCGAUACUGUCUAGCUUGAGUACAGGAGAGGAGAGUGGAAUUCCACAUGUAGCGGUGAAACGCGUAGAUAUGUGGAGGAACACCAAUGGCGAAGGCAGCUCUCUGGCCUGAUACUGACGCUGAGGUGCGAAAGCGUGGGGAGCAAACAGGAUUAGAUACCCCGGUAGUC